rnacentral:rRNA from 1 species
CCUACGGGAGACUGCAGUGAGGAAUAUUGGUCAAUGGCCGGAAGGCUGAACCAGCCAUGCCGCGUGAAGGUCAGUGCCCUAUGGGCGUUAAACUUCUUUUGUGCGGGAGCAAUAAUGGUCACGUGUGGCCAGACGAGAGUACCGUACGAAUAAGCAUCGGCUAACUCCGUGCCAGCAGCCGCGGUAAUACGGGGGAUGCAAGCGUUAUCCGGAUUUAUUGGGUUUAAAGGGUGCGUAGGCUGUGAGGUAAGUCAGCGGUGAAAUGCCCCCGCUCAACGGGGUGAAGUGCCAUUGAUACUGCCUGGCUGGAAUGCGGAUGCCGUAGGAGGAAUGUGUGGUGUAGCGGUGAAAUGCAUAGAUAUCACACAGAACACCGAUUGCGAAGGCAUCUCGCGAAUCCGCGAUUGACGCUGAUGCACGAAAGCGUGGGUAUCAAACAGGAUUAGAUACCCUUGUAGUC